rnacentral:rRNA from 1 species
UACAGGGGGUGCAAACGUUGCUCGGAAUCAUUGGGCGUAAAGCGCACGUAGGCGGUUCGUUACGUCGGAUGUGAAAGCCCUUGGCUUAACCGAGGAAGUGCAUCCGAAACUGGUGAGCUAGAGUACGAAAGAGGAUCGCGGAAUUCCCGGUGUAGAGGUGAAAUUCGUAGAUAUCGGGAGGAACACCGGUGGCGAAGGCGGCGAUCUGGGUCGAUACUGACGCUGAGGUGCGAAAGCGUGGGGAGCAAACAGG